CUGGUAGCUCAGCUGGAUAGAGUGUCUGACUACGAAUCAGAAGGCCGGGGGUUCGAGUCCCUUCCAG
rnacentral:tRNA from 1 species